GAUGAACGCUGGCGGCGUGCCUAAUACAUGCAAGUCGAACGAAACUUCUUUAUCACCGAGUGCUUGCACUCACCGAUAAAGAGUUGAGUGGCGAACGGGUGAGUAACACGCGGGCAACCAGCCCAAAAGAGGGGGAUAACACUUGGAAACAGGUGCUAAUACCGCAUAACCAUAGUUACCGCAUGGUAACUAUGUAAAAGGUGGCUAUACUACCGCUUUUGGAUGGGCCCGCGGCGCAUUAGCUAGUUGGUAGGGUAAAGGCUUACCAAGGCAAUGAUGCGUAGCCGAAUUGAGAGGUUGAUCGGCCACAUUGGGACUGAGACACGGCCCAAACUCCUACGGGAGGCAGCAGUAGGGAAUCUUCCACAAUGGGCGAAAGCCUGAUGGAGCAACGCCGCGUGGGUGAAGAAGGUCUUCGGAUCGUAAAACCCUGUUGUUAGAGAAGAAAGUGCGUGAGAGUAACUGUUCACGUUUCGACGGUAUCUAACCAGAAAGCCACGGCUAACUACGUG
rnacentral:rRNA from 1 species